rnacentral:rRNA from 1 species
GACGUAGGGUCCAAGCGUUGUCCGGAUUUACUGGGCGUAAAGGGCGCGUAGGCGGCCACCGCAAGUCGACUGUGAAAUCUCCGGGCUUAACCCGGAAAGGUCAGCCGAUACUGCGGGGCUAGAGUGCAGAAGGGGCAACUGGAAUUCUCGGUGUAGCGGUGAAAUGCGUAGAUAUCGAGAGGAACACCUGCGGCGAGGGCGGGUUGCUGGGCUGACACUGACGCUGAUGCGCGAAAGCUAGGGGAGCGAACGGG